AUUGAACGCUGGCGGCAGGCCUAACACAUGCAAGUCGAGCGGAUGAAGGGAGCUUGCUCCUGGAUUCAGCGGCGGACGGGUGAGUAAUGCCUAGGAAUCUGCCUGGGAGUGGGGGAUAACGUCCGGAAACGGGCGCUAAUACCGCAUACGUCCUGAGGGAGAAAGUGGGGGAUCUUCGGACCUCACGCUAUCAGAUGAGCCGAGGUCGGAUUAGCUAGUUGGUGGGGUAAAGGCCUACCAAGGCGACGAUCCGUAACUGGUCUGAGAGGAUGAUCAGUCACACUGGAACUGAGACACGGUCCAGACUCCUACGGGAGGCAGCAGUGGGGAAUUUUGGACAAUGGGCGAAAGCCUGAUCCAGCCAUGCCGCGUGUGUGAAGAAGGUCUUCGGAUUGUAAAGCACUUUAAGUUGGGAGGAAGGGCAGUACGUUAAUACCUUGCUGUUUUGACGUUACCAACAGAAUAAGCACCGGCUAACUUCGUG
rnacentral:rRNA from 1 species